rnacentral:tRNA from 1 species
CAAGGGAUAGUUUUAAAUAAAACCACAGCUUUGGGAGUUGUAAAUAUAAGUUAAACCCUUAUUCCCUUGA